UACGUAGGGGGCAAGCGUUAUCCGGAUUUACUGGGUGUAAAGGGAGCGUAGACGGCAAUGCAAGUCUGGAGUGAAAGGCGGGGGCCCAACCCCCGGACUGCUCUGGAAACUGUAUAGCUGGAGUGCAGGAGAGGUAAGUGGAAUUCCUAGUGUAGCGGUGAAAUGCGUAGAUAUUAGGAGGAACACCAGUGGCGAAGGCGGUUUACUGGACUGUAACUGACGUUGAGGCUCGAAAGCGUGGGGAGCAAACAGG
rnacentral:rRNA from 1 species